GACGAACGCUGGCGGCGUGCUUAACACAUGCAAGUCGAACGGAAAGGCCCUGCUUUUGUGGGGUGCUCGAGGGGCGAACGGGUGAGUAACACGUGAGUAACCUGCCCUUGACUUUGGGAUAACUUCAGGAAACUGGGGCUAAUACCGGAUAGGAGCUCCUGCUGCAGGGUGGGGGUUGGAAAGUUUCGGCGGUUGGGGAUGGACUCGCGGCUUAUCAGCUUGUUGGUGGGGUAGUGGCUUACCAAGGCUUUGACGGGUAGCCGGCCUGAGAGGGUGACCGGCCACAUUGGGACUGAGAUACGGCCCAGACUCCUACGGGAGGCAGCAGUGGGGAAUAUUGCACAAUGGGCGGAAGCCUGAUGCAGCAACGCCGCGUGCGGGAUGACGGCCUUCGGGUUGUAAACCGCUUUCGCCUGUGACGAAGCGUGAGUGACGGUAAUGGGUAAAGAAGCACCGGCUAACUACGUG
rnacentral:rRNA from 1 species